CUUGGAUUUAAUAAUUCACUCCCAUCCUGAUGUUCCUUUAUUGCUGUAAAUUCCUAUGUUUGCAAAAUAUAAUCAGCCCAGUACAGCAAGUAAACAUGAUUGUUAUUUUUAUUUAUUUCAGCCAUGACUUCUCAUCGUCCUCAAGAAAUUUCACCAGAGCAAAGAAUAAAAGAAGGAGAGGGAAGAUAUGGAAAGUCGGCCCUAGAUUAUUUACCACUAAGAAAACAAUGGGAAAAUAUAGGUGAGAGUAAAGUUCAAAAAUUGUAUUAUAAUGGACAAAACCAAUUAGUAGUCCCUAUUUAUGAUAAAAAAAUUAUGGUCACAAGACACCAGAAAAAAUUAAUAUCUGAAAAAAAAUCAAUCUAUUCCACUUACUUUUGAGGAGCUGUGUAUGGCUUUAAGAAUAUAUCCACAGCCAUUUUACAAAAGGAAAUGUGGAAAAUUUGAAAAGAAAUCUGGUCCAUGCAUAAGUUUUUAACUUAGCCAAUUAUAAAUGUAGCACUGAGUUAAACUUCCAGUCAAAUUUUUGCACAGAAAAGAUACUUGAAACUGAAAGACACAUUUCUAAAAGUGAUACUUUUGAGAGUUUCUUUACAAAAUGUCCAUUUUUUCUGCAGCAAAACAGUAAUUUCUCCUUGCACACAAAUGGACAAUGUUAAGAAUUGUAGAAAGGUUUCUACUUCCCCACUAUUGCUCAAUGACAAUUAUGAUACAGAUUUCUGGAAAGUGCUAUAAGUAACACCAUUAGCCAUGUAUGUACCCUGAGUAAUUACCAGUAUAUUUACAUUGGUGAUAAAAAUUAUGAAUAUAGAGAAACUCCUAGUCAUUUUCUAAAGGAAAAUUACCAUGAUGAAAAAUGUGGGAAAGUCUUGCUUCAGUUCUCAAAAACUAUUACUCAUCCAAAUAUUCAUAGUCAAGGCAAAACUUGCAAGUGUAAAGUAUGUGAAAGGGCUCUUAAUAACAGAGAAGAGCUUGCUCAAUACAAGAGAAUUUAUGGAGAAAGGGAGCCUUAUAAGUUUAAAGAAUAUAUCAAAGCAUUGGCUUGCUCAACAAAUUCUAAACACAGUAGAUACGAUGACAGUGAUAAACUAAAUUUAAAGAAUGCAGAAAAACUUUUAGUGAAAGGUUACAAUUUCUUAAGCAUCAGAGCAUUUUUGCUGAAGAAAAGGCCUGUAAAUGUAAAAAGUGUUGCAAACCCUUAAAAAAUUUUUCAACUCUUACUCAACAUCAAAAAAUUUAUUCUGCAGAGAAGACCUACCAAUGUGAAGAAUGCAACAUACUCAAGAACUUUACUCAACAUCACAGUGUUCAUACAGGAGAUACGCCAUGCAAAUGCAAAGAAUGUGACAAAACUUCUAAUAAAAGCUCCAAUCUUAUUUGUCACCAGUGCACACACCCUCUAGAGAUGCCCCACAUAUGUAAACAAGUUUGUGAAGCCUUAAAAAAUCCAAGCCUUAAAAAUCACCAGAGAAUUCAUACUGGAAAGAAGCUCUACACAUGUAAAGUGUGUGGCAAGAUUUUUAAUCAUAAAUCAUCAUUUACUGAGCACCAGCGAAUCCACACUGGAGAGAAGCCCUACACCUGUAAUGUAUGUGGCAAAGCUUUUAGAAGAAAGUCACAUCUUGAUGGCCACAACAGGAUUCAUACUGGAGAAAAGCCCUACAACUGUAAAGGAUGUGACAAAGCUUUUAAAAGAAAGUCACAUCUUCAUCGCCACAACAGGAUUCAUACUGGAGAGAAGCCCUACAAAUGUAGAGAAUGUGGCAAGAGUUUUAAUCAAAAAUCAUCACUUACUCAGCACCAGCGACUCCACACUGGAGAGAAGCCCUACAACUGUAACAUAUGUAGCAAAAGUUUUCAUCAAAAACCAUCACUUACUCGGCACCAGAGAAUUCACACUGGAGAGAAGCCCUACAACUGUAAAGUGUGUGGCAAAAGUUUUACUACUACAAACACACAUCUUGAUUGCCACAACAGGAUUCAUACUGGAGAGAAGCCCUACAAAUGUUAAGUGUGUGGCAAGAGUUUUACAAUAAACACACAGCUUGAUCGCCACAACAGGAUUCAUACUGGAGAGAAGCCCUACAAAUGUAGAGAAUGUGGCAAAGAUUUUAAUCAACAAUCAUCACUUACUUGACACCAGAGAACCCAUACUAGAGAGAAGUCUUAUAAAUGUGAAGAAUGGCAAAGCUUUUAAAAUUGAAGAUCACAUCUUACUAAACAUUAUAGAUUUUAUUCUGGAGAGAACUUUUACAAGUGAAAACAUUGAAACAGUGUCUUUAAGGAUGAAUCAACCCUUACUUCACAGUAGUUCAACACUAUUUAACACCAGAGAUAUGAUAGCACAGAAAUUAUACAAGUGUAAAAUAGGUGUCAGAGUCUCCAACAGUUAUUCACACCCUACUCAGGACCUCAGAAUUCAUACGAGUGAGAGGACAUGUGGAAAAAUUUCAGACAUUUUUUCAAUUUCUGAUCCCAUACCUGUAGCAAAUGUGGAGUAGCAUUUGUCCAAAGUAUGUACCUUAGAUAACAGCAAAAUAUUUACAAAACACCUUGACAAAUACAACAACUGUAAGUGUCUUAUGUAUAGCCCAUCUCUUGAAGUAUUUGGGACCUAGGAGGGAAAAAAUCAUUUAAAUGUAGAAAAUGGGUAAUUGCUUUUGAUAUUUGCUGAAAAUUUUCUUAACAACUUUAGCUGAUAUUGUAGAAAUAAUGAAAUACAAAUAUAGAAUAGUGCAUCCCUAAAUGGAUAUAAUUUUACUAUAAAUCAACAAUUACUAAAUAUUCUCAUUUCUCACAAUUGGAGAAAACAUAAUUCUCAUAGUUGAUUAUUUCAGAAAUGUCUUAAGAUUAUAUGAAGCUUUAAAUGUUUAAUUUUUAGUUUUGAACUUAGGGGCACUUAAUCAGUAAACUGCAUCCCCAGAUUUUUUUUCAUCAUUUUUAUUUAGAGAUAUGGUCUGCUAAGUUGGUUAGGGCCUCAGUAAGUUAUGGAGCCUGGCUUUGAACUUGAAAAACGCCUUCUGUAGUUCCUCAAGGGUCACUGGCAUGGACCACCAUGCCUGUUGUAUAGAGCAUUUUUACUUAUAUUUGCAUUACAUAUGUAAUUUGUUACUAAAUAAAAAUUGUGAAUUUUUAAUGUUAACCAUGUCAUGCAUUUAAUGAUGUUAUUAGGUCACAUACUUCCC
rnacentral:lncRNA from 1 species